GCCGGGGUGGCGGAAUUGGUAGACGCACAGGACUUAAAAUCCUGUGGGAGUAUUCUCCCGUGCCGGUUCGAUCCCGGCCCUCGGUA
rnacentral:tRNA from 1 species